rnacentral:lncRNA from 1 species
CCUCGUGUGAUUUUGCGAGACUCCUUAUGAGAGCACCGUCCAGUGGUUUGCAGAAGCGUGCAUCUGCAACUGUUACCUGUAAACCGCGGGUUCCUAACACAGCAGCUGCAGCCAAACAGUUCUGUACUGCUGAGCCAUAUCCUAGUAGAGCCACUCUCUCGCCUUCAACCAAUAUCCUGCCUUUACCGACCUGAUAAGUUUGUUGCAAAAGAUUGUUUAUUAGAUAUCAAUCAGCAUUAAAAGAUAUAGUGAAAGUUGAAAAUGUACCUCAAGCGGAGUGCCUUUGUUUCCAACCGGAAGUUCUACACCGAUCCCAUUUCCUCUUGGGUAUCUGAAACAACUUGGUCUGUCAUCAAUGGCAGCAGCAGUUGCUACCAUGUGAAAUAGCUCCGUUUCAUCGGAAGGAGCCAUUACUACCAUGUUAGGAAGACACGCCAUGAAGGUAACAUCAAAUGCACCACAAUGCGUCGGACCAUCUGCUCCAACAAGUCCAGCUCUGUCCAUUGCAAAUCUCACUGGCAGCUUUUGCAAGUCAACAUCAUGCACUACCUGGAUAUAAAAUCAGCAGAAUCUAACGUUCAAUAAAACUACAAUAUAUAAUACAAGAUGAGAUUAAUUGGAGGCAUUCGACUUGCCUGGUCAUAAGCCCUUUGCAAGAAAGAUGAAUAAAUUGCACAAAAAGGUUUGAGGCCUUCACAAGCCAAACCAGCAGCAAAGGUUACAGCAUGCUGUUCUGCUAUUCCAACAUCAAAACACCGCGUUGGGAAGCGACGGUGGAAAAGGUUCAUACCGGUCCCACCACCCAUAGCAGCAUGGAUUGCAACAAUAUCCUUAUCUGCUUCCGUUGGGAAGCGACGGUGGAAUAGGUUCAUACCAGUCCCACCACCCAUAGCAGCAUGGAUUGCAACAAUAUCCUUAUCUGCUUCUGCUUCUGCAAUUAAAGCCUCCGCAAAGUGCGUCGUAUAGGACUGAGUCUUGGCACUGACUUUGAAUUGCUUUCCUGUUGCUGGAUCAAACUUGGCAACUCCUGCAACCCAUAAAACAGAUUUAAAUCUUAUGUUUCUUAUUUAAACAAGACAGAACUUGUCCGGAUAAAUGAG